rnacentral:rRNA from 1 species
AUGGAUCUAGCCAAUGAUCCUAGGAGAAGAGCUACAUCAGAUGAUCCAGCCUGGAAGUAUGGGUUCUGGCCAGAUUUAGAGAGGAAAGAUUUACUCCAGUGUACAUUGUGUGGCAAGAUAGUCCAUGGUGGAGUGAGAAGGCUAAAGCAGCACUUUUCUGGGGGUUCCAGUGAUGCGGAUAAGUGUCCCGAGGCAUCCAUGGAGAUUAGGAUAGAGAUGCACAAUUCCUUAAACACUAGAAAGUUUAAAGCUAUGGAGCGAUAUAUUGAUGAGGAUGAAGCUGAACUUCAAAGGCGCCGUUCUGUCAUAUACACAAGAUGA